AUUGAACGCUGGCGGCAUGCUUUACACAUGCAAGUCGAACGGCAGCGCGGGCUUCGGCCUGGCGGCGAGUGGCGAACGGGUGAGUAAUACAUCGGAACGUGCCCAGGAGUGGGGGAUAGCUCGGCGAAAGCCGGAUUAAUACCGCAUACGACCUGAGGGUGAAAGCGGGGGAUCUUCGGACCUCGCGCUAUUGGAGCGGCCGAUGGCAGAUUAGCUAGUUGGUGGGGUAAAGGCCUACCAAGGCGACGAUCUGUAGCUGGUCUGAGAGGACGACCAGCCACACUGGGACUGAGACACGGCCCUGACUCCUACGGGAGGCAGCAGUGGGGAAUUUUGGACAAUGGGCGAAAGCCUGAUCCAGCAAUGCCGCGUGUGUGAUGAAGGCCUUCGGGUUGUAAAGCACUUUUGGCGGGAACGAAAAGGACUGUGCCAAUACCACGGUUCGAUGACGGUACCCGCAGAAUAAGCACCGGCUAACUACGUG
rnacentral:rRNA from 1 species